GAUGGACGCUGGCGGCGUGCCUAAUACAUGCAAGUCGAGCGAACGGACGAGAAGCUUGCUUUUCUGAUGUUAGCGGCGGACGGGUGAGUAACACGUGGAUAACCUACCUAUAAGACUGGGAUAACUUCGGGAAACCGGAGCUAAUACCGGAUAAUAUUUUGAACCGCAUGGUUCAUAAGUGAAAGACGGUCUUGCUGUCACUUAUAGAUGGAUCCGCGCUGCAUUAGCUAGUUGGUAAGGUAACGGCUUACCAAGGCAACGAUGCAUAGCCGACCUGAGAGGGUGAUCGGCCACACUGGAGCUGGGACACGGUCCAGACUCCUACGGGAGGCAGCAGUAGGGAAUCUUCCGCGAUGGGCGGAAGCCUGACGGAGCGACGCCGCGUGAGUGAUGAGAGUCUUCGGAUCGUAAAACUCUGUUAUUGGGGAAGAACAUAUGUGUAAGUAACUGUGCACAUCUUGACGGUACCUAAUCAGAAAGCCACGGCUAACUACGUG
rnacentral:rRNA from 1 species